CGAUCAGUGUUUAUUGGCAAUGUGAGGUCUCUUUUCCUUUUUAACUUUGUGGUUUGCAUUCAAAACUUGAAAUGUAAAGGCAUACCUCCGCUUGAUAACCAAAUAGUAGUUAACCCUUGAUGGAGGUGGAUGUAUGCAAGUUCUUGUAAAUUAGUUCUCAUUAGGUGCAUUGUAUGCAUCUUCUUUAACUUUUGCAUGUGCCUUUUACUCAUUGAAAAUGACAGGUUUAAAUUCAUUCAUUGUCUUGGUUAAAUUAAAAGUUGUAGUAUUAAUCACUGUCUGAUUAUUAUUAGCGUGCUUGAUUGACUUAUAUUCUGUAAAAUAGUACAGAAGAUGAGGGUGCAACAUAUGGCAUACAGAAUUUGAUUGUUCCCAAUGCAAAACAUGCAUUUCAGUUUCAGCAUUCAUUAUCUUGUUUGUCAUUUUAACUAGGGGGUAUUCCUCCUGUGAUUUUGAACUUCUUUCUUGUGAUGCUAAGGAAGGCCCAUGAAUUGAAGGAAUUAAUGCUCUGCUGUAUCGUAAAUUAUAUAGCAUCUCUAUGCAAGUAUAAUUCAUCAGUUGAACUUAAAAUCUGGAGGAAAGGCCUGGUGGCCUGGUGGAGUGAUGAUUGAUAAAAUUGAUGGCCCUCCUGCUUACUCCAAAUUGUCUGUUUGUUAUCUUCCCUACUGCUUACUCCAAACUCCCUACCCAAACAAAGGGUGGAAUUCUUCAACUUUAUAUUGGGGUGGGACAGUUACUUUACCUAUUAGUAAUCUGUGAGCUUUAAGGGAUGGAUUUCAUUUGUCUUUCUUGGAUGCAUAAGAAUGCAAAGAAAGAGACAGAGAGAAAGAAAAUGAACCUUAGGAAUCAGGUCAGGGUUUAGUUGUAUCACUGAAAUAUUUAAUAUAAAACUGUGUGCGACUGUGCACAGUUUGUAUUGAAGGGAGAAAUUAUGAAGAAAAAGGUGAAAGAGAAAGAUGAAGGCACUAAGCCUCUCCUCGCUGUAUUCAUUCCUAUAAGUGGAAUGUGGAAAUUCUCAUAAUUUUCCCAAGCCCUUUUUCAUGAUUUUAUUGUAUUAGAGAUAAGUUGUGAAGCUAUCAAAUAUUUUAUUUUGAAAAGUCAAAAGUCCCAAAACACAAAGGUGUGCAAUUAAAUGAGUAAUAGGGAGUCUGUUGCGUGAGGACUUUGGAGUAAUCAAUUAUGAGUGGACGGAUGAUGGAAUAAAUAGUAUGCAAAGACAUAAAACUCAUCAUUUUUGCUUAAACUAUGUUCUAGCAAACUUUUUUAUUGUCAUAAAUAAGAAACAAGGCAGUCUCUGGUUAUGGCUGUCCACUGGGGCUUCAUCCUGGGUGGGUGUGCACCUGGACCAGGUUAUGAACUGGUCUUUCCUGAAUUAAUUAUUUUGCUUGAUCCAAAAGGAUUUGUGGAAGUCAGCAGCAGUUUUUAAUAUUAGCUUUUUCUUGCGUAUAUCAGCUGACUUUGUUCAUUCAAAUUUGAAUUUUAUUGACAAAAUGAAGAUUCUGUGUCUGCAGUUAGAUGGAUUCAGCUGCUAACCCCACCUUGGGAGGGUCUGAAUGUUGUGAUCUUUGUGCUUUCAGCUUAAUAUUGAAAUUCAAAAUGCAUUUGAUAAUAUAAAAUACAACUGGUUUGAGCGAUGUGCUAGAUUCCCAAGUCCUUUUUCCCUCCCUCCUUUUCUAGUUUUGAGUGAAGAUGUUCACUUCCUGUUCUCUCAAUUCAGCAUUUCUGUGUUACUACUUAUUGUGGACUUGACUUUUUAAUAUGUGAGGGCUGUUCUCAGCUUUACAAUCCUACUUUGACUUUCUUCUUUGAUUACAAUCGCAGGUCAGGCUUCGUUCUUCAAGUUUCUGAUUAACUGGUUCUGGGAUAUGAUAUUAACCUGGGCUACUAAAAAAGUGUGCAUGAUAAUGUGGCAGAGAAAAUGAUAAGAAAGAAACUUUGUGAAAAGAAAAUUUGAAGGCUUUUGAAACCAAUAACUUGAAAAAAAAAAAGAAAAAGAAAGAAGUUGAAGAGGGAAAAGAACGGUUAGUGGAAGAAAAUUAGGUAAGGGAAGAUUUUAUAUGCACUUUUCAUGGUAAAAAUUAAGUGAAAUAUUAAAUUUUGAAGCUAUAGUGUCUAACAACCCUCUAGAAAAAGAAUCGGUCAAAUCAGUAUAAUUCAUAUCAAUUCACCAAAUUCACUACCAAAUCAUAAAAUUGGGUUAAGAUUCAAGUAUAUUGAGAUUCACCCUAUAGAUUCGAAUCGCUAGGAUGGGAAAUCGAAUCGAAUCGUGAGAUUCUAACAAUAGUGAGUAGAAACUAAAGACUUUGUGUGUUCAUUUUUCUUCAUCAAUACAAGUCUCAAUAACAUGCUGACAAAUGAGAAGGAACUUACAUAGAAAGAGAACCUUUUAUUUCACUAUUUAAUAACGAUGCUACAUCUCUUCCUUGCAUAUCAAAAUCAUUAACACUCCACUCAAACUGAAACAAUCACCUGAUAAGGCCUCCGUCCCUUAAAAUGCUACUAAUGCUUCCCUAUGAAUCAUUUCAAUCUACCUACAACCCCAAAUAGAAGUACCUCACAUCCUCCAGGAUGAAAAUAAAAUAAUAAUGAAAUGAGGACAAAAUCACAUCUGUCUGCUUUUAAUUUGCCAAUUCCUUUGUCUAAAUGGUGAGGGUGUAUUUGGAUAGGAAUGAUUUGAAAUGAAAAUAUUUGGAUUUAAUAUUUUAGCAUAAAUCAUAAUACAUGUUUUCUUUGGUAAAUUGCAUUUCUCAAUGGAUAACAUAUUCAUACAAAU
rnacentral:misc_RNA from 1 species